UACGGGGGGGGGCAAGCGUUGUUCGGAAUUACUGGGCGUAAAGGGCUCGUAGGCGGCCAACUAAGUCGGAUGUGAAAUCCCCAGGCUCAACCUGGGAACUGCAUCCGAUACUGGAUGGCUUGAAUUCGGGAGAGGGAUGCAGAAUUCCAGGUGUAGCGGUGAAAUGCGUAGAUAUCUGGAGGAACACCGGUGGCGAAGGCGGUUCUCUGGGCAUGUUCUGACGCUGAGGAGCGAAAGUGUGGGGAGCGAACAGG
rnacentral:rRNA from 1 species